rnacentral:rRNA from 1 species
CUCCUGGGAAACGGGUGGUAAUGCCGGAUGCUCCAACUUUCCGCAUGGUUUGUUGGGAAAGCUUUCGCGGUAUGGGAUGGGGUCGCGUCCUAUCAGCUUGACGGCGGGGUAACGGCCCACCGUGGCUUCGACGGGUAGCCGGCCUGAGAGGGCGACCGGCCACAUUGGGACUGAGAUACGGCCCAGACUCCUACGGGAGGCAGCAGUGGGGAAUAUUGCACAAUGGGCGCAAGCCUGAUGCAGCGACGCCGCGUGAGGGAUGGAGGCCUUCGGGUUGUAAACCUCUUUUAUCGGGGAGCAAGCGAGAGUGAGUUUACCCGUUGAAUAAGCACCGGCUAACUACGUGCCAGCAGCCGCGGUAAUACGUAGGGUGCAAGCGUUAUCCGGAAUUAUUGGGCGUAAAGGGCUCGUAGGCGGUUCGUCGCGUCCGGUGUGAAAGUCCAUCGCUUAACGGUGGAUCCGCGCCGGGUACGGGCGGGCUUGAGUGCGGUAGGGGAGACUGGAAUUCCCGGUGUAACGGUGGAAUGUGUAGAUAU